UAUUCUUAAUCCAACAUCGAGGUCGCAAUCAAUUUUAUCAAUAAGAACUCUCCAAAAUUAUUACGCUGUUAUCCCUAAAGUAACUUAUUUUAUUAAUCAUUAGAAAUGGAUCAUUUAAAUCAUUAAUUAAUGAAAAUAUUAUUAAAAGUUUUAUAAAUUUUAAUAUCACCCCAAUAAAAUAAAUAUUUUAUUAAUAAAUAAUAACUAUAUAAUUAUAUUAAUAAAUCUAUUAUAAAGAUUUAUAGGGUCUUCUCGUCUUUUAAUUUAAUUUUAGCUUUUUAACUAAGAUAUAAAAUUCAAAUAUAAUUUUUAAAUGAAACAGCUUAUAUUUCGUCCAACCAUUCAUUCCAGCUUUCAAUUAAAAAACUAAUUAUUAUGCUACCUUUGCACAGUUAAUAUACUGCGGCCAUUUAAAUUAUCAAUGGGCAGGUUAAACUUUAAAAUAAUUCUCAAAAAGACAUGU
rnacentral:rRNA from 1 species